rnacentral:rRNA from 1 species
GAAGCGCUUUCUUUUGAUUCUUCGGAUGAAGAAGACUGUGACUGAGUGGCGGACGGGUGAGUAACGCGUGGGCAACCUGCCCUGUACAGGGGGAUAACAGUUAGAAAUGACUGCUAAUACCGCAUAAGCGCACGAGGACGCAUGUUCUUGUGUGAAAAACUCCGGUGGUACAGGAUGGGCCCGCGUCUGAUUAGGUAGUUGGUGGGGCAGCGGCCUACCAAGCCGACGAUCAGUAGCCGACCUGAGAGGGUGACCGGCCACAUUGGGACUGAGACACGGCCCAAACUCCUACGGGAGGCAGCAGUGGGGAAUAUUGCACAAUGGGGGAAACCCUGAUGCAGCGACGCCGCGUGAAGGAAGAAGUAUUUCGGUAUGUAAACUUCCAUCAGCAGGGAAGAAACUGACGGUACCUGACUAAGAAGCACCGGCUAAAUACGUGCCAGCAGCCGCGGUAAUACGUAUGGUGCAAGCGUUAUCCGGAUUUACUGGGUGUAAAGGGAGCGUAGACGGAGAGGCAAGUCUGAAGUGAAAGCCCGGGGCUCAACCCCGGGACUGCUUUGGAAACUGCAGUUCUAGAGUGCCGGAGAGGUAAGCGGAAUUCCUAGUGUAGCGGUGAAAUGCGUAGAUAUUAGGAGGACACCAGUGGCGAA